GUGUUUAAUCCAAAGUAUUUGAUUAAGCUAGAUAAAGUAGUCCUAGCCAGGACUAAAGUUAUGAAGAGAAACCAGUCCAGAUACUUGAUCGCAAGGUUCAAGUUUUAUGAGACAAUAAUAUUGUUCUCGUCAUGUAGUGGAACCAUCACAGGAUGGAAAAGGCCACAAAAGAGAUGAAUAAAAUGAAAGACUAGUAUCCUCAGCUAGAUUAUCAAGGUAUGUAAUUUCGGGGACGAAAUUUUUUUUUAAGGAGGGAGGGAUGUAAUACCCCGUUUACUCGAGCUAAGUUUAGAAAAUUUUCGAACUUAGAUUUAAGAUGAUUCACGCCAGAUUGAGAAAAAGAAUUUAUUUUAAUUCCAACAAAAAUGAUUUACAAAAGCAUUUGUAAAUUUAGUAAUUAAAUUAUAUGCAUUUCAUAUUUAUUUAAUUUAGUAUUCAAGUAUUUUCACGAGCUAUUUAUUUAGCGAACCAUGAAGUAUUAUUACAGUUUUCAUAGUACAACCUGGAAGAUUUUUUUAUUUUAUUUUAUCUUAUUUUAUUUUAUUUUUUUUAUUCCUACUCCCACCACUAACUCCUCCACCUUUCUUCCCACUUUCCCUCCCACUACUCCCACUUACCCCCACUUAUUUCCAUCACCCACGUUCACAAUUCAUUUACCAAACUUCUGCAAUAAUUAACUGAAUUCCUGUAUUCUCCAUUCAUAAUUCCCACAGCUCAUUCUGCCGAGAAGGAGCUCAUGUUUUUAAAAACAGUCGAGCAGUUUCAUAGCUUCAACAUCAAAGCAAUUUCAUAUCUUUGAACAGAACAUCCCUAAGGUUUCAUCUUCUUCUUUAAAUUACAUGACUUGUUUUUACAAUAUUGAAUCACACACUACGCAUUUCCAGCAACUAAUUUUCCCAUAUAGCAAAUUCAGAUUUCGUGUAUCAAGAUUUUGAAACAAAAUGGCAUUCCCGUAUACAUGAGCAUACAAUCUGUGUUUCUACAUAUAUGAAGCAUACUUAUUAAAAAGAAUAAAGAAAAAGUCUUGAGCUUGUUUUUGAUUGCCGAGUCCAAAUGUUGGAGUGUCUGGUUGGGUCUGUUGAGUCGAGGAGGAUGAGCGUUGUGUUUGUGUGAACUGAGUCGAGAGGUCGAGGGAGGCAGGGCACGGCGGCUGUGCCGCUGCUGCCCGGCCACGGUUGGAGAGAAGGAGGUGGGCUGGUCGGAGCUGGUCUGGGUGGAGGGCUGAGCGGAGGACGACGGCGGCGGCAGUUUGCUCCAUCUACUGCUGUCGGCCGGAGGGAGAGAAGGGAGGAGGCUGCGGGCGGCUCCGGCUGCUGCUGUCGCCGAGAGAGAGAGACCGAGGGAGGCGGCGGCGCUCGUCGUCGCCAAGGGGGAAAGAGAGAGCAGGGGGAGUGACAGGGGGAUUCAAGGGAGAAGUGACCAGAGAUGACGCCCUUCGCCGGAGACGAAGCCGCGGCGGCGGAACUGAUGGCCGAGAGACAGAGGAGAGAUGAAAGAACAGUUGAGAGGGAGGAACGAUCAGUUGAGAGAGAGAGAGAUCAGAGGGAGCUGGUGGCAGCGGCUUGUCGGCGUUGUUCCUUCGGCGAGUUUCCGCCAACGGCGGAUUUCUGAGGGAGAUGAGGGCAGCGGCCGUGCGGCCGCCGGAAGAGGCUGUGCGGUGGUUUUGAAGGAACCGUGAGAGAGUGAUUUGGGGAGAAGAAGAAAUGAGAGUGAAGGUGUGUGUGCGUGAGGUGUGCGGCAGAUGGGGGGGGAGAAAAAGAGGUGGAAUGUUGGGCUAGGGCUUGGGGGUGUUGGGCUUUGGGGAUGGGUUUGAAAUUUCGAAUUGGGCUUGAGCAUAUGGGUCGAAAAUAUUAAAGGUUGGGCUUUGCUUUUCUUUGGGUUGGGCCGAUUUUUGCAUUUUUUUUUAAUUUCAGUUGGGCUCUUUAAUUGGGCCGAGUUUUGUUUAUAUUUCAGUUGGGCCAAUGUUUUUAUUUAAUGCCUUGGGCCUUAAUUUAUUCAUUGGGCUGUGCAGCUUCUCCAUUUAAUUGGACUGCACUAUUUUAAUUAAUUCGACUUAUUAAGUUUGAUUAAUUAUUUUAAUUUGCAUAAUAAUAUCAUAUUAUUAUUAUUAUAUGCAUAUUUUAAGUUAUUACUUACUAUAUGCUAAGCAUGACAUGAAAUUGCAUUAUUUUUUUUUUUGCAAUAAAAGUAUUUAUGAUUUAAUUGGUUUUAUUUAUAAUUCCAAUUAUUUAAGAAAAUCGAGUAAGGAUAUUGUUGGUGUCCUUAACUCAAGAAUUUAGUUUUCAAUUAUUUAUUUAUUAAAUUUUGAAAACCCGGCUAAGUGAAUCAUAGAAUAUUAAGCACUACACUAUGACUUAAGAUUAGAAUUCAAGGAGACCUAUUGAGAAUAGAAUUCUUGUAGGCUUUGAGCAUCAGGAGGAUUAGCACUGCUAUUCCGAUUCAGAGAUAAGGUUAAACGACAGGCUUUGCCUAGACAGGUUGGCUGGACGGUGCUGACGGGACGGAGCUGAGGCUAAAGAUAAAUUCCUAUGUUAGACUUCCGCUGUAGCAAUUACUCAUAUCCAUCUUUUGUUUUCCCAACUUAAGAUCUUCAUGUUAAAUUUCAAAUGAUAUAUUUGACCGAGCUUAGACUCUUCACUACUAAAUUUAUGCUAAUGAAUGUUGGUUGUCAGAAGCAUGAAACAAAA